rnacentral:rRNA from 1 species
UACGGAGGAUCCAAGCGUUAUCCGGAUUUAUUGGGUUUAAAGGGUGCGUAGGCGGCCUAUUAAGUCAGGGGUGGAAGACGGUAGCUUAACUAUCGCAGUGCCUUUGAUACUGAUGGGCUUGAAUGGACUAGAGGUAGGCGGAAUGUGACAAGUAGCGGUGAAAUGCAUAGAUAUGUCACAGAACACCAAUUGCGAAGGCAGCUUACUAUGGUUUAAUUGACGCUGAGGCACGAAAGCGUGGGGAUCAAACAGG